rnacentral:rRNA from 1 species
UGGGGAAUAUUGCACAAUGGGGGAAACCCUGAUGCAGCGACGCCGCGUGGACGACGGAGUACUUCGGUAUGUAAAGUCCUGUCAGCAGGGAAGAAAACGGACAGUACCUGACCAAGAAGCCCCGGCUAACUACGUGCCAGCAGCCGCGGUAAUACGUAGGGGGCAAGCGUUAUCCGGAUUCACUGGGCGUAAAGGGAGCGCAGGCGGCACGGCAAGUCUGGUGUGAAAGCCCGGGGCCCAACCCCGGGACUGCACUGGAAACUGCCGGGCUGGAGUGCCGGAGGGGUAAGCGGAAUUCCUGGUGUAGCGGUGAAAUGCGCAGAUAUCAGGAGGAACACCAGUGGCGGAGGCGGCUUACUGGACGGCAACUGACGCUGAGGCUCGAAAGCGUGGGGAGCAAACAGG